rnacentral:rRNA from 1 species
GACGAACGCUGGCGGCGUGCCUAAUACAUGCAAGUCGAACGCUUCUUUUCCCACCGGAGCUUGCUCCACCGGGAAAAGAGGAGUGGCGAACGGGUGAGUAACACGUGGGUAACCUGCCCAUCAGAAGGGGAUAACACUUGGAAACAGGUGCUAAUACCGUAUAACAAUCGAAACCGCAUGGUCUCGUUUUGAAAGGCGCUUUACGGUGCCGCUGAUGGAUGGACCCGCGGUGCAUUAGCUAGUUGGUGAGGUAACGGCUCACCAAGGCCACGAUGCAUAGCCGACCUGAGAGGGUGAUCGGGCACAUUGGGACUGAGACACGGCGCAAACUCCUACGGGAGGCAGCAGUAGGGAAUCUUCGGCAAUGGACGAAAGUCUGACCGAGCAACGCCGCGUGAGUGAAGAAGGUUUUCGGAUCGUAAAACUCUGUUGUUAGAGAAGAACAAGGGUGAGAGUAACUGUUCACCCCUUGACGGUAUCUAACCAGAAAGCCACGGCUAACUACGUGCCAGCAGCCGCCGCGG